UUACUUCAGUCUGCACAAUUUAAAGCUACAAAAAGUAGUUGGCUUAUGUAACUGUAAAUCCAAAUCUAAGUUGGGCUAUCCAGAGUUAUAACUAGGUUAAUACAUGCAUAUAAUCCAGAUCAUAUAUCUGUAAGGAGAAAUAAACUGUUCAGACCAUAAGAACACGUAUCGCUUUCCUUGGUAGCAUUGGCCCUCCAAAAUCCCAAAAACAUCAAGUGGUUCAAGACUGCACAGUAUAAGCUACUUCAUGUCGAUUCUACUUGAGUUUCACCAUCUGCAAAAGCAAGCAUCCUGUUUAACAACACCGCUAGAUUUGCCAGCAUAUCAGCUUCCGUGUUGAGUUCCUGACAUGUUAAAUAAGUAACACCUCAGAAAUGAAUGUAACAUAUACAGAAAGGUAACUUGAAAAGAAUUGGGUAAGGUGAAUAUGUAAACAACACCGUAGACUCUCAUAUUGAGCAAUGCAAAAAGAAAAAGUCAAAUGACAUGCUUGGGAAGCAUGCACUCGCAUCCAGAAACAGAUCGAUAGAAGAAUCAUUUUCAGAUGGUGCAACACCAAGAAUAUUGCAUAAAUUGAACCCAACCUCCGAGUACCCACUGCUUGUCCAUCUUUUGUUUCAGGAGUUCUUUUCAACAGAUUAUACCACUCAUUUAUGCAGAGACAUCAUACAGCAUAUAUUCCCGAGUACUUAGCACAUUAUAUUUUCACUAAACAAACUCUUUUCAAGCAAGAAGAUCAUAAUUAUGAAAAUGUUGCAAGAGUUGUCCAUACUCUUUCUACAUGGAUGAUAUGGAAAGACAUAAACUGAUCUUUAGGCUCUUCGACAGUCUUGGACAAUUCCACCAUGUUUUGGUUUGUAGUUUUUCCAGAUUCCCUGAAUCUGUUCCAUG
rnacentral:lncRNA from 1 species